UGACGACGUUGCUAACACGACAUGUUGCU
rnacentral:sRNA from 1 species